rnacentral:precursor_RNA from 14 species
UCACUGGAGUCUGCGUAAGGGGCCUCCUUCACUUUAACAUGGAGGCCCUCGCUGUGCCUUUAAAAUAAGUGCUUCCAGGUUUGAGUGUGGUGGCUCCUGCUUACUCCCUGGGCGGCAU